UCUAUUUACGAUUAAUCGUGCAACUUAAAACUUAAUUUUCACCACAGGGGGACUUUAAAUUUUGUUUUGUUUUUUAAACUAUAUAUUGUUUUUUGUUGUUGCUUUUUUUUGUUUUUGUUUUUCAACCAUAUCACAUUUAUUUAGCUGCCUUAAUAUAGUCAGUUUACUUCUUAUAGCAAUGUAUUUUAGUCAAAAUGAAAUGGGAACUCAUCGUUUCACUGUUGCUGAAGUCUAGACUCGAGCUCAUGGCUGAUUGGUUUGAUGGUGAACAAGCAGACAAAACUUUGUUUCCAUCGUGAACAUGGUGUUGAUGGCCAGCUUGAAUCCUUCAGGAUAUAAGAUUCCACUCAAUCAGGUGGUUUCCGUGCACUGCCACUGUAAUGCUUAGGAGCAUCAGGGUGAUUAUUAAUAACUCCAAUUGUAUUCAUCUGAAAGAAGAGAGUCAUGCACACCUAGGAAGGCUUGAGGUGUAAAUGCUAAUACUGUGAACAAAUUGAAAAUUAUUGUAAAGUAUUAUUGCAACACUGCAUGGCAGGAGCCUAAAGGACUCCUCAUUCACACACCACAAGGAGGCAGGCUUUCAACAAAUCUAAAUCUACAAGUCACAUGCUUCUGCCCUUUGAGUCCAGAUGAAGGUUAAAAAAGCAGCUCCUUUACUUCAGUUUUAAGCAACAAAACAAAAUAAUGUCUUUUCUGAGUGUCUGUAUAGGCUGAUUGUGUUCCUCAUGCAGCUCCUGAUUGGUUGUGUGAGGAGGAAGGUGUUUUGCUUCACUUCCAAACUCAUUAUCUCUGAAACCUAUUGUUGGCUGGUUACGUACCGCACAUAAGCAGGUAAAUAUACUGCCUCAAAUGUUCACACCCUGUCUGUGUCUCAACUCCCACCCUUCUAUUUUUAUUGCAUUGUUAGCUGCUUCCUCGCUCCAUUGCUUAGUCUUCCUUCUCUGUCUCUCGCUUCCAUCCAUCCCCAUGCUCGGUCCUUGACGUCCUUCCUGUCGAGCUCAGCAAUGGUCCUCUGUAAUUAGCGCCCUGGUGGCUGAGUGGAGCAUUUUUCCGGCCUGAUGCAACACACUCUGCAUAGGGCAGCUGAACUGGGUCGACCCUCCUGUGCCCACACACAGCCCAGCCCAGCCCAGCAGCGCUUCUGUUCUUCUCGUAAGCUUCUACACUAGAUGCUUUCAGAGGAAUUACUUGAGUCUGUUGCAGAUGUUACAUUUCUUGAUGAAUGAAAAGUCACUUUUAGUACUUAACUAAGUACCCAACUUGAAAUCCGUUUCCCAGAGUUAAUUUUUCCUGGGAGUUUGUGUGUCAGACAGUUUGGAAACUCACUUGUUGCAUCAUUCUUUUCAAAAGUUUAGAAUUUGAGUCUCUUUUUUGGGGCCAAAAUAAAAGUUCUUCAGAAGUGGGUUUGGUUAUCAGUGCGGUAAUUCACAAAACACACUGCGGCUGGACCACAUAUAGGGCACAUAGGAAUAAGACUUAAAGGAAUAUUCCAGGUUUAGUUCAAGCUGUCGACAGCAUACAGUCGAUUACCACGGAAUUACUUUGGCUUUUCUCUCACUUUAUAAAAACAAGCAAAAAAUUGCGUUUACAGUAAUGCAUUUACAAUGGAGGUUUAUGGGGCAUGGCAUUUACACUGGGAUGAAUGCUACAGUACUAUAGCCACACUACUUAAACAUGUCUUUAACAUGUGACUGCUGUGAUAAAAUCAGUUCAUAACCUUGUCUAAACAAAUAUGCAAUUCUUCAAUUCCUGUCAUGGCUAAUGCUGGUAAACCCUAAAACCUUUGAGCAAUGUGCAAUGAUACCAAUAAUACAUCCACACGUGUAAUUCGAGUCCAUAAUGCAUAAGCAGAUGUUCAUCCACCUAGAACAUUAAUGCCAGUGCUAAAAGGAUGAAUUAAACAACUUUACAGCUACAAUAACUCUUUGUACAGAAGAGACAGAUAUAAGCUAUUAAAUAAAAAUACUCAUUGCCCCCUGUACUUGCAUUGUAAGUGUGCUUGUGUCAAAGCAUACAUUUUUUGGGUCAUUGACCAAUCAAUCUUCAAAAAGGGUCUUUUUUUUUAAAAAAAACAAAACAAAACAAUCUUUUCAAAAAUGAUGUAAAUUCUUCUCAGGUUGACUUGCAUUAGAUCCCGUCACCCCUCCUCCAACACUAAACCACAUAUGGUUCUCAUAUAUAAAUCCAUGUCAUCAAUGUUUCAGUGUGAACGCACUACUUGCACUAUUUAUACUUAAAAACAUCAUAGAAUAGUGCAUAAGUAUGCGAAUUGGGACGCACAAGACUGUUCAGAUGAAUGGGAGAA